rnacentral:tRNA from 1 species
UAGCUCAGUCAGUAGAGCAUAGCGCUAACAACGCUAAGGUUGCGGGUUCGAUUCCCGU